GACGAACGCUGGCGGCGUGCUUAACACAUGCAAGUCGAACGGAAAGGCCCUGCUUUUGUGGGGUGCUCGAGUGGCGAACGGGUGAGUAACACGUGAGUAACCUGCCCUUGACUUUGGGAUAACUUCAGGAAACUGGGGCUAAUACCGGAUAGGAGCUCCUGCUGCAUGGUGGGGGUUGGAAAGUUUCGGCGGUUGGGGAUGGACUCGCGGCUUAUCAGCUUGUUGGUGGGGUAGUGGCUUACCAAGGCUUUGACGGGUAGCCGGCCUGAGAGGGUGACCGGCCACAUUGGGACUAGGAUACGGCCCAGACUCCUACGGGAGGCAGCAGUGGGGAAGAUUGCACAAUGGGCGGAAGCCUGAUGCAGCAACGCCGCGUGCGGGAUGACGGCCUUCGGGUUGUAAACCGCUUUCGCCUGUGACGAAGCGUGAGUGACGGUAAUGGGUAAAGAAGCACCGGCUAACUACGUG
rnacentral:rRNA from 1 species